rnacentral:rRNA from 1 species
GACGAACGCUGGCGGCGUGCUUAACACAUGCAAGUCGAACGGAAAGGCGCUGCUUUUGUGGGGUGCUCGAGUGGCGAACGGGUGAGUAACACGUGAGUAACCUGCCCUUGACUUUGUGGUAACUUCAGGGAACUGGGGCUCAUACCGGGUAGGAGCUCCUGCUGCAUGGUGGGGGUUGGAAAGUUUCGGCGGUUGGGGAUGGAUUCGCGGCUUAUCAGCUUGUUGGGGGGGUAGUGGCUUACCAAGGCUUUGACGGGUAGCCGGCCUGAGAGGGUGGCCGGCCACAUGGGGACUGAGAGACGGCCCAGUAGCGUACGGGAGGCAGUAGUGGGGAAUAUUACACAAUGGGGGGGAGCCUGAUGCAGCAACGCCGCGUGCGGGAUACCGGCCUUCGGGUUGUAAACCGCUUUCUCCUGUGACGAAGAGUGAGUGACGGUAAUUGGUAAAGAAGCACCGGCUAACUACGUG